GGCUAACGCUGGCGGCGUGUCUUAGCCAUGCAAGUCGAGUGGACUUAUGGGGUAACUUAUAAGUCAGCGGCGGACGGCGGAGUAACACGUAGCUAACCUACCCUCUGGACGGGGAUAACCUACCGAAAGGUGGGCUAAUACCCGAUGUAGUCAUCCUGUAUAGGGGUGAUGAAAGGUGGGCUUCUGUUUACAAGCUCAUGCUGGAGGAGGGGGCUGCGGCCUAUCAGGUAGUUGGUAGGGUAAUAGCCUACCAAGCCGAUGACGGGUAGCCGGCCUGAGAGGGUGACCGGCCCGAGGGGCACUGAGAUACGGGUCCCACUCCUACGGGAGGCAGCAGGCUAGAAAUUUGGGCAAUGGGGGAAACCCUGACCCAGUGACGCCGCGUGCAGGAAGGAGCCCUUCGGGGUGUAAACUGCUGUCGUGUAGGGAGAAGGGUACUAAGGUAGAACAAUCUUAGUACUUGACGGUACUACAGGAGGAAGCCCAGGCUAACCUCGUG
rnacentral:rRNA from 1 species